GACGAACGCUGGCGGCGUGCCUAAUACAUGCAAGUAGAACGCUGAAGGAGGAGCUUUCUUCUCUGGAUGAGUUGCGAACGGGUGAGUAACGCGUAGGUAACCUGCCUGGUAGCGGGGGAUAACUAUUGGAAACGAUAGCUAAUACCGCAUAAGAGUAGAUGUUGCAUGAUAUUUGCUUGAAAGGUUCAAUUGCAUCACUACCAGUUGGACCUUCUUUGUAUUUGCGAGUUGGUGGGGUAUAGGCUCUCCAAGGCGACGAUGCAUAGCCCACCUGCGAGGGUGAGUGGCCAGCCUGGGACGGAGACACGGCCCAGAGUGCUUGAGAUGGCAGCCGUACUGCAGCGUGGGGAAUCGGCGGAAGUCAGACCGAGCUGCGCCGAGGGCGUGAAGAAGGUUUUCGGAUCGUAAAGGUCUGUUUUAAGAGAAGAACGAGUGUGAGCCUGGAAAGUUCACACUGUGACGGUAUCUUAUCAGGAAGGAACGGCUAACUACGUG
rnacentral:rRNA from 1 species